GGGCGCAUAGCUCAGCUGGGAGAGCAUCUGCCUUACAAGCAGGAGGUCACAGGUUCAAUCCCUGUUGUGCCCACCA
rnacentral:tRNA from 1 species